UUGUGCUAUUCCCCUUGGUCCUGUUUGGGUGCAAGUCCCCCUCACGCAUUGCAUUCCUGGCCGCUCAGGCUGCUCCUGUGUCUCCCCAGGGAACAUGAAGGUCCUGCAGGAGCCCACCUGCGUCUCUGACUACAUGAGCAUCUCUACUUGCGAGUGGAAGAUGAAUGGUCCCACCAAUUGCAGCACCGAGCUCCGCCUGUUGUACCAGCUGGUUUUUCUGCUCUCCGAAGCCCACACGUGUGUCCCCGAGAACAACGGAGGCGCGGGGUGCGUGUGCCACCUGCUCAUGGAUGACGUGGUCAGUGCGGACAAUUAUACACUGGACCUGUGGGCUGGGCAGCAGCUGCUGUGGAAGGGCUCCUUCAAGCCCAGCGAGCAUGUGAAACCCAGGGCCCCAGGAAACCUGACAGUUCACACCAAUGUCUCCGACACUCUGCUGCUGACCUGGAGCAACCCGUAUCCCCCUGACAAUUACCUGUAUAAUCAUCUCACCUAUGCCGUCAACAUUUGGAGUGAAAACGACCCAGCAGAU
rnacentral:sRNA from 1 species